rnacentral:rRNA from 1 species
CGGAGGGUGCGAGCGUUACCCGGAUUUACUGGGCGUAAAGGGACGUGUAGGCGGUUUCUAAGUCCGGGGCUAAAGACCAGGGCUCAAACCCUCGGGGUUUGUCCUUGGAUACUGGAAAGCUCGACGGCUGGAGGGGGCAGCGGAAUUUCCGGAGUAGCGGUGAAAUGCGCAGAUACCGGAAGGAACGCCAAUAGCGAAGGCAGCUGCCUGGACAGUACGUGACGCUGAGGCGCGAAAGCGUGGGGAGCAAACCGGAUU